rnacentral:rRNA from 1 species
GGUUAAGCGAAUAAGCGUACACGGUGGAUGCCUAGGCAGUCAGAGGCGAUGAAGGACGUGCUAAUCUGCGAUAAGCGCCGGUAAGGUGAUAUGAACCGUUAUAACCGGCGAUUUCCGAAUGGGGAAACCCAGUGUGAUCCGUCACACUAUCAUUACCUGAAUACAUAGGGUAAUGAAGCGAACCGGGAGAACUGAAACAUCUAAGUACCCCGAGGAAAAGAAAUCAAACGAGAUUCCCCCAGUAGCGGCGAGCGAACGGGGAGCAGCCCAGAACCUUAAUCACUAUCAGCAUCAGGAGAACAGUCUGGAAAGGCUGGCCGCAGCAGGUGAUAGCCCUGUAUCCGAAGGUGUUGGUAGUGUGAGUUCGAUGAGUAAGGCGGGACACGUGUUAUCCUGUCUGAAUACGGGGGGACCAUCCUCCAAGGCUAAAUACUCCUGACUGACCGAUAGUGAACCAGUACCGUGAGGGAAAGGCGAAAAGA